rnacentral:lncRNA from 1 species
GUUUUGGACGGUUUUGGGUAGUUUUUAUGGUGUAGAAUGGAUGGGGAAUGGUAUGGAAAGGUUUAGGAUUGAUGGGUGGUGUGGCUAGGGGUGGUUUUUGGCUGAAUUUGGAGAGAAUGGAGGUGGGAAUUUUCGGCCAAACAAGGAUCAAAAUCUGUUGUGUUGAUGAAUAUGGGAGGUGGUAUUUAUAGGCUUGAGAGAGGACCACUCCAUUUCCUUUGCAUGUGCAUCUUGUGUGGGUGUGAGUUGUCAUGUUUCCCCUUUACAUUUACACACACAUGCUUCAUCAUUUCAACCACCAAACACACACAUUUUCUGCC